AACGUAGGAGGCGAGCGUUAUCCGGAUUUACUGGGUGUAAAGCGCGUGCAGGCGGUGGGACAAGUUAACUGUGAAAGCGCCCGGCUCAACCGGGCGAGGACAGUUAAGACUGUUCGACUAGAGGCAGGUAGAGGUGUGUGGAAUUCCGGGUGUAGUGGUGAAAUGCGUAGAGAUCCGGAGGAACACCAGUGGCGAAGGCGACACACUGGGCCUGGCCUGACGCUCAGACGCGAAAGCAUGGGGAGCGAACGGGAUUAGAAACCCCGGUAGUCCAUGCUGUAAACGAUGCGGACUAGGUGUUGCGGGUUGAAUCCCCUGCAGUGCCGCAGCCAACGUGAUAAGUCCGCCACCUGGGGACUACGGCCGCAAGGUUAAA
rnacentral:rRNA from 1 species